rnacentral:rRNA from 1 species
GACGAACGCUGGCGGCGUGCUUAACGCAUGCAAGUCGAACGGAAAGGCCCUGCUUUUGUGGGGUGCUCGAGUGGCGAACGGGUGAGUAACACGUGAGUAACCUGCCCUUGACUUUGGGAUAACUUCAGGAAACUGGGGCUAAUACCGGAUAGGAGCUCCUGCUGCAUGGUGGGGGUUGGAAAGUUUCGGCGGUUGGGGAUGGACUCGCGGCUUAUCAGCUUGUUGGUGGGGUAGUGGCUUACCAAGGCUUUGACGGGUAGCCGGCCUGAGAGGGUGACCGGCCACAUUGGGACUGAGAUACGGCCCAGACUCCUACGGGAGGCAGCAGUGGGGAAUAUUGCACAAUGGGCGGAAGCCUGAUGCAGCAACGCCGCGUGCGGGAUGACGGCCUUCGGGUUGUAAACCGCUUUCGCCUGUGACGAAGCGUGAGUGACGGUAACGGGUAAAGAAGCACCGGCUAACUACGUG